UUUUCUGUUCUCUCUCAGGCUUUCAGUGUAACUUGGAUUUCUUACUGACAAGCUGUAUCUGUUUUGAUCGCAGAAUUACCCUUGUAGUUGUUUAAUUAUGCCGAGUGUCUGUUAAGAUACAUUUAAGAGCACUGAAUGGCUGUGAAAUUGUAAAUAAAGGAAGAUAAAUAUAAGUUCCUGGAUAUUGGAGAUUACUGAAUAUAAAUCCUUUUUCAGAGAAGAGUCCUGAGUGCAUUCCAUCUCUUCAUUUUAUUGAAAAUCCUAGGCUGUGGCUGAAAUGGGCCCUACCCUUGUCAACAAUCAAGCACAUCUACAUAUAUACAUAAAUACAACAUUUGCAUUGGCCAAAACUUUCUUCUGGAAACAGCGAGCGGUUCAAUAGUAUUCUGAGAAUGUUUUAACAUAUUUUGUUUAAGUACAGGAGUGGUUAAGAACCAACUCAGGAAAAGGCUGUGAUAUGAGAACCUGAUUGUUUUGCUGUAACACUGCAUGUUGCACAGGUUGUGGGGUACUGUAUUUAGAUGUUAAAUGGCAGAAUUCAUCUAAGUUUGUGUUCUGUCAAAUUUAACUGAAGGAAAUUCAUGACGGACACUGAAUUCAGUCAAAUCAGUGGAUAGUAUGACGUUCUUAGCCAUGAUGUUAUGGAUGAGAAUAAAAGUGAAAGGAAUGAUUAAAUUAAAGUACUGAUAAUUAAUUAAUAUGGUUCAUAAUUCAGUUUAUAUGAAUAACCCAGAAGGUGUUUCAGCUUGUAUUUUGUCCUAAAUGCAGCAAACUCAUUUGAGGACCAUUGAGCUAUUUAAUUCACGUAGCUUAUCGAGACAAAUUUCCUGUUCAAAGUCAACAAUAACCAAUCACUGUGGAGAGAUGUUACUAGAUGAGAAUAUACAAGUCCAUGUUUACAAUAGAUUGAUACCAAAUAAUCAAAUUCCCUUUUCCCAAAUUUGCUUGGGGUUAGGGUGUCACAUCAACAUUAGGCAAGGUGACCAAAUUACCUAGAGCUAAUAUUUGCACCAAUUAAAUGCUUUGUGGGGAAAAACACACUAUGCUUAUAUUAAUUCCAUUUGUAAGAUAUCUUGGAGACCUUCUUGUCCUUGUAUGUGAGCUAGACCAGAAAAUAUUAUUUGUGUUUAUAUAAAAUCAUUGCAUUUAAAACCAAUAUAAGCAAUGACUUUUACAAGAAUUUAAUAACUGGCAUUUACUUUAAAUACAUUAUAUCUCAUUUGUGAGUGAAACUGUUUGCAUUCUCACCAGAGACUGAAUCUAAGAAACAGAAUUUCUGAUCUUUACUCUUAAAUGCUUUACUUAGUAUUUGCUAUUUGCUGGAGUAUAAAUAGGAUUUGGAUUUAUUAUGUCAGUGUGGCUAAAUGUAUAAAUGAAUGUUCUUAAUAUGAUUGUUUUAUACAAUAAGUCAGAUUUCAUCAUUCAUUGGCAGUAUUUCUAAUGACGUUUUUUUUCUUUUUUUGUUCACAUUUAAUUCUGUAUGCAGACCACAAUUUAUUUUCAGAUAUUUUUUUUGCAACUGCAUGAAAGCAUCCUUUAAUGCCAUUCUAUGCUAAAGCGGUGUUUUGAAAAUGAUUGUAGAAUAAGUCUAUAUGAUUAUGUUCUUAAAUAUAAUAUGAGAGCAGUACAGAAGUUGAUAACUGUUCAUAUGAUUAUUGCAGAUUCCUCUACAGAUGGUUGAUAUCUGCCUGUGAGCGCUAUUGCCUGAUUUCAUUUCCUCGGCUCCAUUUUUUAUAGAGCGAGUUACACUGCAAAAUCACAGUUUAUGUAGUUUUUUCAGUAUACCGUUGUAGGCUCAACAUCCAUGAGGAAAAUAGAAAUGUUCAUUGUGUUACUGAUUUGAUAGAGGACAAAUCCCACAUAUGGAGUUUAAGUGAAUAUUGCCCUUUGACAAAAAAUUAGGUUUUAUUUGGUGCCAUUUUUGGUUCAGAAGUGGAGUUUGUUGUUUAUUACUAAAUAGCCCAUGUUUAUCAAGUCAUAGAUUAACUUGUUUUCAAGAAGUACAAAUAUGAUUUGAAGCAUAAGUAGAUACAAAUGUAGAGCUCAGAAAGAUUGGAUUAAAUUCUUAAUUCCUAAAAUGGCUAAAACCAUGUCUAGUACUAAUGUGUUUAUAGUUAUUAAAUGUCAUCUUGUGUUUUCCUUGAUGCAAUCUAAUUUUAACAUCUUCUUUAAUACAGUUUGCAAAAAUGAUGAAAGCAAUUUGAGCAGUAUAGAAAAUUUAAAUAAUGUUUAUAAUCUAGACAUAUUUUAUUUGCAAUUGUAAAACUUCCCUGGAGUAAAAAGAAAAAAAAAUAAAGUGGAGUUGUUUUGA